rnacentral:rRNA from 1 species
GUGGGGAAUAUUGGGCAAUGGGCGCAAGCCUGACCCAGCAACGCCGCGUGAAGGAAGAAGGCUUUCGGGUUGUAAACUUCUUUUGUCGGGGACGAAACAAAUGACGGUACCCGACGAAUAAGCCACGGCUAACUACGUGCCAGCAGCCGCGGUAAUACGUAGGUGGCAAGCGUUAUCCGGAUUUACUGGGUGUAAAGGGCGUGUAGGCGGGAUUGCAAGUCAGAUGUGAAAACUGGGGGCUCAACCUCCAGCCUGCAUUUGAAACUGUAGUUCUUGAGUGCUGGGGAGGCAAUCGGAAUUCCGUGUGUAGCGGUGAAAUGCGUAGAUAUACGGAGGAACACCAGUGGCGAAGGCGGAUUGCUGGACAGUAACUGACGCUGAGGCGCGAAAGCGUGGGGAGCAAACAGGAUUAGAUACCCGAGUAGUCC